CAUAUUCUUAAUUGUUUUAUUUAUACUUUAUUCAACAUUUAACAAAUGUAACUAAACUCCAUGUUACAGUUAGUUGAAUUGUUUGGUUCAAUGCUUGUGUUUGUUUCAAACUCCAUCCAAUAUUUUAUCUUUAUCACUGACCUCAACCCAGAGUCUUUUAGAGAGUUCACAGAACAUAAAAAUACAGUAUAUGAAUCCAUAAAUACCUCAUAUAGCACUGUAGUCCACCACAAACAACUGUGACGAUUUACACACAAAAACAGAGUAUUGUAUACUUCAUUUCAAAUUCAUAUAGUCGUUAUAUCAUUAUAUGGAUACUUAGGUGCUUUUUGAUAAACUGUAAUACAGUGUACUUCGCAUAUAGUGAUAAUCUGUGCAGGACUGUCAGCGAUUGAUCACUAUACAGUAUUCACUAUCAGCAGAGUGGUGUAUACAGUAUUCACUAUUAACAGAGUAUACUGUAUACAGUAUUCACUAUUAGCAGAGUGGUGUAUACAGUAUUCACUAUUAACAGAGUAUACUGUAUACAGUAUUCACUAUUAACAGAGUAUACUGUAUACAGUAUGCACUAUUAACAGAGUGGUGUAUACAGUAUUCACUAUUAACAGAAUGGUGUAUACAGUAUUCACCAUUAGCAGAGUAUACUGUAUACAGUAUUCACUAUUAACAGAGCAUACUGUAUACAGUAUUCACUAUUAGCAGAGUGGUGUAUACAGUAUUCACUAUUAACAGAGCAUACUGUAUACAGUAUUCACUAUUAGCAGAGUGGUGUAUACAGUAUUCACUAUUAGCAGAGUAUACUGUAUACAGUAUUCACUAUUAGCAGAGUGUACUCUAUACAGUAUUCACUAUUAACAGAGUGGUGUAUACAGUAUUCACUAUUAGCGGAGUGGUGUAUACAUUAUUCACUAUUAACAGAGUGGUUUAUACAAUAUUCACUAUUAACAGAGUGGUGUAUACAGUAUUCACUAUUAGCAGAGUGUACUGUAUACAGUAUUCACUUUUAGCAGAGUAUACUGUAUACAGUAUUCACUAUUAGCAGAGUGUACUCUAUACAGUAUUCACUAUUAGCAGAGUGUACUCUAUACAGUAUUCACUAUUAACAGAGUGGUGUAUACAGUAUUCACUAUUAGCAGAGUGUACUCUAUACAGUAUUCACUAUUAACAGAGUGGUGUAUACAGUAUUCACUAUUAGCAGAGUGGUGUAUACAGUAUUCACUAUUAGCAGAGUGGUGUAUACAUUAUUCACUAUUAACAGAGUGGUUUAUACAGUAUACAUUAUUAGCAGAGUAUACUGUAUACAGUAUUCACUAUUAGCAGAGUAUACUGUAUACAAUAUUCACUAUUAGCAGAGUGGUGUAUACAGUAUUCACUAUUAACAGAGUGGUGUAUACAGUAUUCACUAUUAGUAGAGUAUACUGUAUACAGUAUGCACUAUUAACAGAGUGGUGUAUACAGUAUUCACUAUUAACAGAAUGGUGUAUACAGUAGUCACCAUUAGCAGAGUAUACUGUAUACAGUAUUCACUAUUAACAGAGCAUACUGUAUACAGUAUUCACUAUUAACAGAGUGGUGUAUACAGUAUUCACUAUUAGCAGAGUGUACUGUAUACAGUAUACACUAUUAGCAGAGUAUACUGUAUACAGUAUGCACUAUUAACAGAGUGGUGUAUACAGUAUUCACUAUUAGCAGAGUAUACUCUAUACAGUAUUCACUAUUAACAGAGUGGUGUAUACAGUAUUCACUAUUAGCAGAGUGUACUGUAUA